UACGUAGGGUGCAAGCGUUUGUCCGGAAUUAUUGGGCGUAAAGAGCUCGUAGGCGGUUUGUUGCGUCGGCUGUGAAAUCCCGAGGCUCAACCUCGGGUCUGCAGUCGAUACGAGCAAACUAGAGUGUUGCAGGGGAGACUGGAAUUCCUGGUGUAGCGGUGAAAUGACGCAGAUAUCAGGAGGAACACCGGUGGCGAAGGCGGGUCUCUGGGCAGUAACUGACGCUGAGGAGCGAAAGCGUGGGGAGCGAACAGG
rnacentral:rRNA from 1 species